CUACGGGGGGCAGCAGUGGGGAAUAUUGCACAAUGGGCGCAAGCCUGAUGCAGCCAUGCCGCGUGUAUGAAGAAGGCCUUCGGGUUGUAAAGUACUUUCAGUCGUGAGGAAGGUGGUGCAGUGAAUAGCUGCAUUAUUUGACGUUAGCGACAGAAGAAGCACCGGCUAACUCCGUGCCAGCAGCCGCGGUAAUACGGAGGGUGCGAGCGUUAAUCGGAAUUACUGGGCGUAAAGCGCAUGCAGGUGGUUUGUUAAGUCAGAUGUGAAAGCCCGAGGCUCAACCUCGGAAGGUCAUUUGAAACUGGCAGGCUAGAGUACUGUAGAGGGGGGUAGAAUUUCAGGUGUAGCGGUGAAAUGCGUAGAGAUCUGAAGGAAUACCGGUGGCGAAGGCGGCCCCCUGGACAGAUACUGACACUCAGAUGCGAAAGCGUGGGGAGCAAACAGGAUUAGAUACCCCGGUAGUC
rnacentral:rRNA from 1 species